ACAUCGGGGUGCAGGUGUCCCGGCGUUGCAUUGCAUCUGUAUCUUUGGCCCCACAUCAUUAAACAACAGAGGGCGCCCUGCUCCAGCGAUCUGAGGGAUCGUCCCAGAGUGAGGCCCGGAUGGCAGGCUCCCGCGUGUGUCUACUCCUACUGCACCUCUUCACAUGCUUGGAGAGAACCCAGAGUGGAAUCCUGCUCCUCACGUCAUGAGAAAAGCUUGAUACGCCUGGGAGUAAAACCCAAUUUAAAGAAGAAGAGUGAUAUAAACUGUUUGGAGGUGCUUUCCACAUGUUGUUCCAGAUUUGGGGUCUGAAUAUACAAAGGAAACCGCUUUUUACCACACUUCACUUUGGAUGGUAGGAACCUUCUUUGACGUAGAACUUCAGAGUGAGAAGAGUUUCUGAGGUUUUUACACUUAAGAAAAAAAUACCCGUUUCUUCCCCUUCAGUUAAAUGAAAUCUCUUAGCUUGAGGCUAGGUGAGUAGCACUUAUACAAGUUUUUCAGGUGAUUCUAAUAUGCAGCCAGCAGUGUGAACCCUCGUUCUACACCAACUUCUAUUACUUAUGGGGAAAGUACUUAUCCAUCUUCUGUGCAGCCUGCAGAGUAGAGAGACUGAAAAUAGAAAUCCAACAGGUUAAAAAUCUUCAGUGACCCCUCUCCCCUCCCGCUACCAUCUCUUUUCAGUUUUCAGGACAAAGUUCGGGAUCUUCAGCUUCUCUCACAACUCCUUUCAGUAUUUGUCUCUUGCCAUUAUGCCUCUCAUCUCUACUUUUCUAUUCCCUUUACUUCUCCCCCUACCUCCCUGUCUAGUCAUGCCCAACUGCUUGAAUCUCUGCAACUUGGCAUGACACUUCUCAGUGUCAUACUUUAACAUACUUUUCCUUCCUCCUUCUGGACUGCCUUUAUCUCUUUCUUCAUUUUCAUAAUGCAGCUCAGGCUGAGAUAUUCAAAUAGGGAGAGAACACAAGAAUAUGUAGUUAUGGCUGCCUGGGUCAAAAUCUGUAGGGUUUUUUUAAGAUUGGGAAACUCUUUGAGAGUUUUAAAUUUCUAGCAUAAGUGCUUUAGGGCUAGGUUGUUAUGAUUUAAGUAUCAUAAAUGUGUAAAGGAGGAUCAGAUAUGAGAUGAAAAAAAGUAAUGGGCUCUGGUUGCCUAGACAGCAUGUGCCUCAUAUAAAGAUCAUUAAAUUAAACUUUUUGGAAAAACUCAGGACAGUCAGCCCAGGGGCUGCCAGUUCAUAACUUUUGAAUCAUUUUAUUUUGCAGAUGAGGAAACUGAGAGUUAGAGAUGGUGCUGGGAAUGUAGUAGUAUAUGGCAGUGUGCUAGAGCCCAGGUCUUCUGAAUAUAGGUCCAGUCUUCAUAGUACACCAUACAACUUUGGCACAUUUCCCUUUUAAGUUCUAGUCUAUUUAUUCCAGAUGGUAAUAAUAUUCAUUAAUAUUUGGUCAGUGUUAUACAAUUAGAAAAAAGCACUAAUUCUAUUUUAUAAACUGCAGCUCAGGAAGGUGCUUUAGAAAUAUGUGUCUUGCUUCCUGGGUUUAGAUUUCCUGUGUUCUGAGGCAGAAAUCUUCUCAGGUUGGCCUGGAGUGCCCUAUACUAUGGAAUGCAGUCCAGCUCCCUGUGAUAUUCUAGUCUGAGACCAUGUAGGGGGCAAGUGAAUCCCUGCCAUGCUUCUCUCCCAGCUCACACUUACUAUAAAGUGAAAUCUUAGCUCUGGUGUCUGAUUGAUUUCCCUCUCUGGGCUGCCUGGGUGGAUUUUACCCCUUAAGGAUUUCUGAAAAUAAAAGCAUUUCCCCCAGCA
rnacentral:lncRNA from 12 species